rnacentral:lncRNA from 1 species
CUUUCAUGGACUAAAUAUAAGCUUUGCAAAGGGCGAUGUAGGUUCUGAACUGUAGCAGGAGAAUGAUGAGAUUUUGCAGUUGAGCUGCUACAGCCGGAACUGAAGACAUACUGCAUACUGCUGAAUUGUAUGCCUCCUGAAACAGAAACGUCCAUUAAAAGUAUACCUAAUGUUUAUCUAGACGUGCUGGAUUCUGCUCUUCGUUGAAGCAGCCAUUCUUAGCUGUCAUGUCGGCCUCUGGAGACUGCUGGAAAUUGUCAUACCGAGGUGGAGCAGUGCUCUGGUUGUUCUAGUUAUGUCCAGGUAUUGGCCAAGCCAGCCAAGGACUGGAGAAGUCCAAAGCUGCUAUGUCAGCUUGCUAGGAGUGCCAUGUCUUACAGUGCUAGGACCAAGUAUUAGUGUAUUACUUUCUUGAGAGACAGUAACCUCCCGAUUAAGGCACAGAUUAAGGAGGACCCACCCUGCACUCCCUGCUCUUUUGCACUCUUCUUAUGUACUCACG